rnacentral:rRNA from 1 species
CCCUUAGAUGUUCUGGGCCGCACGCGCGCUACACUGACGAAUGCAACGAGCUUAUAACCUUGGCCGAAAGGUCUGGGUAAUCUCCAAAUUUCGUCGUGAUGGGGAUAGAUUAUUGCAAUUAUUAAUCUUCAACGAGGAAUGCCUAGUAAACGCAAGUCAUCAGCUUGCAUUGAUUACGUCCCUGCCCUUUGUACACACCGCCCGUCGCACCUACCGAUUGAAUGGUCCGGUGAAAUCUUCGGAUCUGAGAGAUGUCUGAUUAAUUUCGGACGCCUUUUGGAAAAGUUGUUUAAACCUUACCAUUUAGAGGAAGGUGAAGUCGUAACA